GCUCCACGUUCAUUCUUAGGGGUCAUCAGGCUUGUGGAAAAGAUAAAACCAGGCCCUUACUCUGCCGAGCUCGCCUUGUGCACCGGGGGGACUGUAUCUUCCCAGCACCGCGGCAGCGUGUCUCUCCCUAACUGCCCAGUAUGGUUGAUGAGCCGAAGGGCCUGAGCACUCAUGGGCAUUCUGACAGGCGUCCUGGGGUGGGUCUCAGCCUCUGGGGGGAGAACUGGUCGCCUCAGAUUCAUGAACUUGCAUCAAGAGGUGUGGAGGGAAGAGUGACUUGUUGGCCCCACCUGCACUUGACGAGGCAGCAGUGCUGAGUGUCAGACUACAGACAGUACUCGAGCAGGACAUCUUCACCCCCUGACCGUAGUCCCCUGCAGCCCAUGGGGCGGUAGCUGGACCCCAUCAGACUUGGCUCACCUCAUAUCUGUCCCCUGUUGUGCCUCAGACACCACCCACUCACUCGUCCCCACGUCCGUGUUCCCGCGCAUGUUUUUCCCUGGCCCGGAAUUGCCCGUUUCCCUCAAGCAUGUGCGGGGGCCUCAGCUAGCCGCCUUCCUCCUCAGGCGGUCGCCGGUGAGAGGCCGGCCUGUGAUGGUGCCGAGCUUCUGGAGCUCCACGCCCGAGGCUCUGCGUCACACCCAAGGAGCCUCCAUCCCUCGGCUGUUAGGGACGUGCUCGCUGCAGUACCAGAACAUCAUUCGUUCAUUCCGGGAAUGCGUCCCUUGUGUUUUUCUGAGCAUUUACUGUGCAUAAAACACCCUGCCAAGUGCUUAAAUGACAGCAUAUUUAAUUGAAGCCUUGCAGUGAACCAGUGGGGUAGACAUUUUGUGGCUGAAGGUCCCUUUUUACGGGUAAGGAAACUGCAGGGCCGAUUCGCCCAAGGAUUGUCCGUGUAGGACACAGAGCUGGCAUUGGAAUGCUGACGGCCCGCUCCAAAGCUCGGAAGCACACACUGGGCAGCUCCCUGCGGGGGCAGGCAGGGCUUUGACCUGGAAAGAAGAGCGACUGUCCACAGGGGACAGAGCAGUGAUAAGAAGUGAGGAGUAGUGGGUGGGAAAGGGCUAGUGGUACCAUGAUGACCUAGAGGGGAAGGUUCCAGUUAGGGGAGGUAGACUCGACCAAGGAGAGGGGUGUGGGAGGAAAGCAUCCCAGAAAUAAAAACAGUCCUAGAAGAGGGAAAGGUCAGAGCAUGUUUGAGAAAGAGCAGGAAUAAAAUUUGAUCAGCGUGGAAAGGGGAGUUGGGAUUGUGAAGGAUCCCUGGAUGCCAGGUAGGAGAUGAGGAUUUUCAUCUGUAGGCAGUGGGAGUCUGAGGACUUUUGAGCAGGGAGUGGUGUGCUGACUUCUGAGCUCUUAAGAACCUCGUAGAGCAGUGUGGAGCAGAGAUUCCGUAGGAGGAGGGACCAGAGACAGGCAUACCAAUAAUGCUGCAGGCUAGAGGAGAGAAAGCAAUGGCCACGGCAUUGCAAGGUGCUGACAGGAGGAAAAGAGGGGAGUGGAUGGAUGGUGGUGGGACCAGAGAGAGGGAGGCAGGAAGGAGUCAUCGGAGAGGCAGUUUGUAGGUCUGGAGAUGCGGGGCAUGGCCCUAGGGCUGGGCAGGAUGGAUUUGGAAAGUGUUCCUCGUGAGGUCUGGGGUUUGUGUGUUCACUCAUCUCUUCGCUCUUUCUACCACUUUCUGUUGCAUACCGGCGCCCUUGUCCCUGUGUUCUGUAAAGAGGUGGGGCCUGGAGAUGUAAACUUGCUGGCCAGCAAAGCAUUCACAAGUAACUUAGGUGUGGACGUGACGAAGUGGAGCCCAGGGGGGUACGGGGGGGCACAGGCUUCGAGGUUACUGAGGAAGACAUGGCAGGGCAGGAGCAGGGAAGGCAGUUCCUGGAGACCCACGGGCACUGGGCUCAGAGAGGGAGCGGGGAGCCGGAAUGAGUUACUGAAGUCGGGGAAGGGAGAAGGGGAAGCGUGGAUCAUGGUCCCAACCGGCCACACACACACAGGAGGGCAGAGGCAGAGGCCGAGAGGGACCUUGGCUCUUGCAUCCCAGAACACACUUAUGACCUGUGGAAAUGCAGGGUCAGGAGGGCCAAACUGUAGGACCGGAGGGGUCAGGAUGGGGGCCACACAUGUAGGCCUCUGCCAGGACAGUGACCCUUACACUGCAAGAUCAUGGGGUGCCUUUACUUGGAUUUUUUUUUUUUUCUUCCGGAAGAGCCCUGUGAAGUAGGCCUGGCUGUUAUUAAGACCUCUUUAUUACAGAGAAGGAAACUCGGUUUCUGAGGGUCAGAAGGCUUCAGUGCCACCUCAGUGUCGGGCAGAGUCAGUGACACAGUGCUCGGUGUUAGGCAAGGAAGGACUCCCUUCCUUGGAGGGACGGCUGGGCCGUUCUGUUAGCCCACUUUGUGAUCAGUGCCCACUGUGGAGUCUUCCCAUCGCAGCCCGCUGAGCUGGCUGGCUGUCAGGUCUCCCUCCCGUCCCUGGCAGCAUACCCACCUUGAUGUCCCAAAGACUGCCAAAUGUCUUGCCUUGGGAAGGCAGUGACGCUGUCGUAGGCCCCGGACCAGCCACAACCCUUGGUUUUACACACAGCACAAGCACUUCUAAAGCAGAAAAGGAGUUCCUCAAAGGAAAUCGGGGGGCUCACAGUUGCACCAAAAAGCUUAAGAAUCAGUCGGAGAAGAAGGGCAGGAAUGACAGGAAGCUGGGCGGCCACCCCUUCUGUGGAAGGUGUGCCCUGGUGCCGCCACCAGCGUGGCAGAGUGGUUCCCCCACAGCCCUGCUGCCCUGCCCCACCAGACUCCGGCGGAAGCACUCAUCCGGCUGGCCUGGGUCACUGUCCACUCUGUCGCUGACACAGAAUGGAGCAGGGGGGGGGUCUCUCGCCUUCCCCCUUCUGUAGUGGCCGUCAUGAGAAAGGGGAUUCUGGGGGUCCAGGAAAAUAAUAUGUUCCCAGCACCUGGCCCCUUUUUCCUGGCCUCUGUAUUGUUUUCACAUGAUACUGAGUCUCAGCCAAGACACUCAGUGUGGCAGCUGUCCACUCUGUAAACCUGCAGGUGGUCUGGACCGAGCCCGGAACCUGGCUUCAGGCAGCCAGAGAUGAACAUGGGAGUUCACUGUCAGAUGGACGGGGGCAAUAAUCUGCAUAGACUGUCCUUUGUACCACAGGGGUGAACUGGGAAGCACUUCCCAGCAGUGAUGACAUGGUUGAGCCCGUGUCUGGGACAGAGGGAGGGGUCAGCCCAAGGACAGGAAGAGCAUUCCUGGAGGGACGAGCUGCACGCACAAAGCCAUCGAGACAGGCGAGGCUGAGUCAGACCAGCUUGGAUUUCAUCCUGUAAGCAGAGGAGGGCCGGGGAGUCUUUCCUUAAAUAGGUAAAUGAAAAGGGGUCCCUUCCAGUAAAGAUAGUCAUGGUGAUGGUGUGGAGAAAAGAGGCAAAGAGACUGGAUUCGGAGAUACUUCGGUAUAAUCAGUCCUGGGAAGCAGCUCAGUAUGAGGGAUGAAGGGAAAACACUAGAGAAUGUCCCCACAAUUUCUAGCUUGACCACUGCAUGAUGUGAAUGAAACUAAGAAGUACAGGAGAAAGAGCAGGUUUGUGCAGGGAGAAUUCAGCGAGUUUAGAUUUGAACUUGGUCCAUCUAGGGUGCCUGGAACGGCCCUGUGGAGCUGUCCAGUGGCAUACGGAGAGGCCAGGGCCAUGGGGCAGUGCUCCUGGUGAGAGGAGGGGAGGGAGGCAAGAAGACAGCUCUGUGCAUGGGAGCCCAGCAGUAGCAGACAGGGGAUGUGGCAGUCAUUCAUGCAACCAGCAUUCUGUGCACAGCCACCACGUGCCCGGCAGUGUGUCUCUCUGCUGGUGAGAAACCUGCAGUCUAUGUUUCAUGGGUAGGGGGCGGGGUAGCGCAGAGGAUGAGGUGAGGGGCAGGAACAGCCUCCCCGGGAAGGUGACAAGUGGCAGGCCAGGCAGCAUGGCCUGGGGCGUCAGCGUCUCUUACAGGUACUCCUGGGUGCUACAGGGUCGGGCCUGUGGACACAGGCCUCCUAGACCGCUGGCAGGACUUGGGGCGCUGCUCUGCAUCUGGAGCAGGCAAGCUUUCUCCGGCAGUGGAGGUAGAGAGGCCAGGGAGGAGGAGGACUGACCAGGAGCUGGCUUUUGGGAGGUCGGUGGUCCCAGGGCAGAGCAAGCAUUCCAUAUAAUGCUUGAACUGUUGGGAGGGUCCCGGAAAGUUCUCUGAAAGUCUGCUGUGUUCCCGGCAAGUCCUGCCGGACACCCAGUUCUCGGCUUCCCCAUCUUCUCCUUCCAGAGCACCCGUUGCUGUAGGAAUGGAGGCAACUGCUGUUCACAUGAAUGCCUGCCAUCCUCACUGCCGCUCCCCGUUCCCUGGAUUUACUGCUCAAGCGGUGGGUGGUGUGGAAGGAUCACGUUUGAUGCAACAGGAAAUCGAGAGCAGAGAGCUGAAGUCACAGGUGGUGCUGAGCCCACGCCCUGGUAUUUGGAGGCCUACUAGCCUUCUGUCCAUUAAUAGGCCAGGUGCCUCGAGCACUCCAUAUUUGUGGUGCACUCACUAGGUGAGAGGGCCUGGACUCGUGCUCCUUCAGGGCUUGCCGUCAUCCCCCAGUGGUCCCCGAGUCAGCUUCUGAGAGUCGGCCCCCCCCCAGCAGGUGCAAGCUGUUUGAGAUUGGUCUACACGAUGCUGCCAGGCUCCAGCGGGGAGCAGGGACCUCACUGAGGCUCUUGGGAGCAGGAAGAUGGAGUCCCGGCACAGGGGAGGUGCCCAGUGACUGUCUGUGGAUGGCUACAAGGGAGAAGCAUGCGAGAGCCACCUCGUAUGUUCAGUGCCGUCUUACCAGGUGGCUGUGGGGAUGUAACCUCCAUGGAGCUCAGAGGAAGGAGACAGGCCAGGGUCUGUUUCUGGCUGGAGGGGGGUGGGGGGAUGUUCCACUUUGAGGGAGUGAGCAUCUGGACAGAAUACGGCGGGACUGUCCUGUCCUUGACUGGCAGCCAGGAAGCAGAUCGGUUUGAGCUGCAGUACUUUGACCCAUGCUGCCCACAGAGAAUGGAAUGAAGGGGACAAGAUUGGGGACUGUGGUACCAGUGAGGGAGGCUGUCAUUCUAAUCCAGAGGAGGAUGGUGAGUGUCUGAGCUAGGACAGGGACAGAGCAGGAGUAGAUUGAAGACCUAGUUAGGAGAUAAAAUGUGUAGAUUGAGCUGGGCAGUUGAGGGAGAAGAAGGGAGAAGUGUAUGACUUGUUUCCAACUUCAGCAGAUCUGGGGGAAGAUGAUGAGUGCACUGGAAGUGCCUGGGGUGUCCGACGGGAGGGGGCUGGUGGCCAGUUGAGAUAGGAGUCUGGCUCUCAGGAGAAGCCUGGGAUGAGACAGCAACACAGCAGCUAGUUAAAGCUGCAAGAAGAAAUGAGAUCUCCCAAGGAGAUGCAUUGUCUGGGAAGACCAGAAGAGCUAAGGACAAAACCUUGGGAUCAAGGAGAGGGGAACCAUGAAGAGGGGGGCUGAGGAAGAGGGAAGUUAGGAAGGAAGAGUAAAGGGACAGAUGGAGAACCAGGAGUUUCCAGAAAGACUGGUCAGUGUGUCUAGUACCAUAGUCAAGUCAGGUAAGAACUGAACUGUUUCCUUCCGAUGUAGCAACAAGGAGCUGAGCAGAUGUAGACCACGGGUGGGAGGCUCAGCGAGCGCGCCGGCUCGGUGAUUGCUCAUCAGCAGGGCAGUUCCCGGUUUCGAUGUCUGUGAGAUGGGGACAGGUUGGAGAGGCUCAGCAGUAUGUGUAACACCCAGCAGGUGCCCAGAGGAGGGGGCUGGAAGGAAAGUCAGCUCUGCCUUGUCAUUGAUUGGCAUGGGGUCAGGGGGAGAGAGGAGUCAAAGACAGCCCCUCUUGGGAGCCUGGAAGAGCAGUGGCCCCGCUCACAGGAAGUGGGGGCAGCGGGGAGAAAGACAAACUGUCAUUUGAAAUAGACUCCAAACUAGUGUUCCCUAUACCAUGCUUGAAAAGAGAGAUACAUUCUUCCCUGGGACAUUUUAAAAUGUGUACUGUUAAAAAAAAAUUUUUUUUCCCUUUGGGGCAAGGAUGGGUGACAAUCAAAAUUUUUUCACCAUUUUACUUGAUUAUAUAGAAGUGUAAUAGGAAAAAUUUUCCUGAGUUGAUUUCUUCUAGUUUUUACUUUACAUCACAGGACUCUGUAAUUAUGUAAUCUGGAACCUGUAAAGCACUUGUUUAUGACUGUACCAGUUGGGACAUUCUGAGAAAGUCACCCCCCCCCCCCC